AACCUAGCACACCUGCGGUGUGUACCUGCGGAGGGAUCAUUACAAGUGACCCCGGUCUAACCACCGGGAUGUUCAUAACCCUUUGUUGCCCGACUCUGUUGCCUCCGGGGCGACCCUGCCUUCGGGCGGGGGCUCCGGGUGGACACUUCAAACUCUUGCGUAACUUUGCAGUCUGAGUAAACUUAAUUAAUAAAUUAAAACUUUUAGCAAUGGAUCU
rnacentral:misc_RNA from 1 species